rnacentral:lncRNA from 1 species
UUCUGGCUUCACAAAAUGAGCCAGCUAGCUAUCAAACAUUUCAUUUAAGUAUAAUUACUCUUAGGACUUGAUAAUGUCUAGCACUGUCUGAUAGGUAGAAUAUGAUGAAUGACUUGAUUUCUUUAUUUUUAUUUAUUUAUGAUAGAGAGAGAGAGAGAGAGAGAGAGGAGGCAGAAACACAGGCAGAGGGAGAAGCAGGCUCCAUGCACCGGGAGCCCGACGUGGGAUUCGAUCCCGGGUCUCCAGGAUCGCGCCCCGGGCCAAAGGCAGGCGCCAAACCGCUGCGCCACCCAGGGGUCCCGAGUUGAUUUCUUUAAUGUUAUGGUUAUCUUUAGGUUUCUAAAAAAUUCUUCCCAACUAUUUUUGUAGUUAAUAUUUUUCAAUAAAAUGUUGCUGUCUACAUUUUCAGGUUAAUUGGUAUAUCAGUUUAUUAUUGCUGCUGCAACCAACUCCUACAAACUCAGUGACUUAAAGCAAGCCAAAUUCAUUGUUUUAUAGUUCUGGAGGUCAGAAGUCUAAAAUGAACAGGCAGGGACUUUUUCAGCUUCCAGAGAUUGCUGCAUUACUUGGCUCACUGACUCACUGUGAUGGAAAGGAAGCCUGCCCCUGAACCUGCCCUCAAGUCCUACCUCCAACUGGACCUCCUAGAAGGCACCCUGUGAGAGCUGUCUCGGGUGGAGGGCUUGCUGGAGACCUCUCAGGGAGUAAGGGGGAGCCUUGCCCCCUAGCAUGGCGGCCUUGCUUCUCCUCAGACUGGAGACCGGUGUCCAGAAGGUACUCGAGAGGAGCCCCAGGACAGCUGCCACCCAGACUCCAUAGCCAGUAAAUGCUGCCUCUGCUCUGCAAAAAUAAAGGUAUCUCUGCCACCUGGAAAAAAAAACAAAAACAAAAACAAAAACAAAAACAAAAAGAAAACAAACAAAAAACCCUCACUCUGACCCUGUAACCUCCCUCUUGUAAGGACCGUUGUGAUCUCAGUGGACCCACCUGAAUAAUAAUAAUUCAUGAUACUCUUCCCCUCUCAAGAUCUUUAACCGAAUCGCAUCUGCAAAGUCCCUUUUGCCGAGUCAGAUAACAUCUUCACGUGUAUUGGGAAUUAGGCCGUGGGCCUCUUCUGGAGGGCCAUUACUCUGUACCUGUCAUACUCGGCGUCAUGGUUUUCAUUGUAUUUUCUCCUGUUUUUCUAGAUGUUGCCCUUUUUCACUUCAAAACGCAUUCAUUUCUCCCUCUAUCACUUUCUUUUAAUCAAUCCGCCUGUUUUAUAUUAUAGCCGCCGGUCUCACGAACUACGCCCCGAGGAGCCGUGGCAGGAGCGCGAGGUCUGGUGCGAAGGCCGCACCUGCACGGCGGGCCGCGCUGUCCCCGUCCGCCCACCUGUCAUUCCCACGAGUCCGUCAAACAGAGCUGCUUCCCCAGCAACCCCCGUGGGCCUGCUUCCCCAGUCGGCGUCACAGGUCCCGGCGCCCCCGAACACGUUCGCUGCGCGUCCCACUCUCGGAACUGCUUUCUCUGCGAUGGAAACAUCCGAGCCUCCUCCUCCUCUCGAGGCCCAGCUCCUGGAAGUCCCGAGGGAGGUGAGCUGCUCACCUUCCUCCUCCCCGGGGCCCGGGAGCCGCCGCGCUGGUUCCGACGUCUGGGGAACCGACGGGGCGCGCCCGGCUCCCGCCCGCGCCUCCGCCCGUGGGGCCUCUCCGCUCCCGGCUCCCACGAGUCAGGUCAAGGCCGCUACAAAGGGCUUGAAUGAAACGCGUGUGCGUUUCGCGAGUCGUCAACCGCCAGGGGACCAGCCUCCUCCGC